ensembl:lncRNA
CUCUAGACUCAGCUCGGGAAGCCUUUCGGGGCCGCCGGCACAGGGAGGGACUCUGAGGACACAAAGUUGGGUCCAGGGGGAGAAAGAACAUUCCAGCAGCCUCAGCCGGCUGCUUGUGGGGCGAUAAGCACCCAUCACUGGGUUUGGUGGGGAGUGGGCUCGCAGGCCCCCAGGUGUCCAGGGACUCGCUCUCCCUGGGACAGCCCAGCACCCCCAGUACCCCCCGCGUGACCUUGAGCCUCGCUGAGAACAAACAGCUCCAUGUUUGGCCGGCUCUCGCUCCCCACCCGCCGGCGGCCGACUGAGCAGACUGACAGGCCCCCAGGACGGAGCAGGAAGGAAACGGGGUACUGCCGCACCCCUGACGGCCAGGACACGUCCCGCCACCCUGAUGUUGGGUGAGCGCGUCCAGGGAGCUCCAGACAGAUGGGCAGACCUGUGGCUCCAAGGGGCACAGGUGACCUGUGGGGACUGGUGGCCACUUGUCCCCACAAACGUGGACAACUGGGCAACUUGGAGCUGCCCACAGAAGAUGGUGCCCUGCCACAUGCAGAGCCGCUGGGGGCAGGGAGGGGCCAGCGGGGCCUUUUUCUAACUUCACGUAAGCCUGCCUGUGCCCGGCGCCAAAACCACACACCGAGCUCCUCCCUGGUCUCGGGUCCCCCUCCUGCCCGCCCCACUUCUCAGACAGCAACAGGAUCCUCUGGGCCCACCCGCUCCCCCAGUUAAAACUUGUGGAGCCUUCCUGUGGGGGAGACUGGGGGCAGCCCCUCCACCGCCCCUUACACCUGUCAGCAGCUUGUCGCCUUGGCAACAGCCUGAGGGAAAGAGUGGCUUCCUAAAAUCAUGGUUUCCAGUGGCGCCCUCCCCUGAGAGCCCCCCCAGACAACCCCCCUUGCUCUUCCCUGGCAUCAGGACAGCUGUGCUCAAGCCCCACUCUGGGAGCCCUGUGGGCACCGUGUGCUCCUGCACUUUGUGGGGUUUCUCUCACCUCCCCCGAGUGACGUCUCCUGACGGCAGUGAGCUCGGGUCCCGGGCAGCCAGCUUUGCCCUGAGCCCUUGCGCGUGGGCCUUUGCUCCCCCUAGGCCCCAGGUCAGAGCCCCUCCAUGCUGGAUCACCACACCCUUGGAGACAGGCCCUGCCCCCAUGUCCCUGCUGGCAGUGGCCUGGGCACCCCUUGGGAAAGGGGGCAUUUGGCCUGGUGUGGCUGAGGGGUGUAGCUACAUAAAUGUCUGGGUCCCCUUGAGGGGCUUCCUCACCAAGGUUCCAUUUUCAGCCUCCCAGCCUUGGCCACACCGGCCUUUCUCUGUCUGCAGCCCCGUGUGAGUGA